rnacentral:rRNA from 4 species
UCUACGGGAGGCAGCAGUAGGGAAUCUUCCACAAUGGGCGAAAGCCUGAUGGAGCAACGCCGCGUGUGUGAUGAAGGGUUUCGGCUCGUAAAACACUGUUGUAAGAGAAGAAUGACAUUGAGAGUAACUGUUCAAUGUGUGACGGUAUCUUACCAGAAAGGAACGGCUAAAUACGUGCCAGCAGCCGCGGUAAUA